UGGGGAAUAUUGGGCAAUGGGCGGAAGCCUGACCCAGCGACGCCGCGUGGGGGAAGAAGUCUUUCGGGAUGUAAACCCUUGUUGUACGGGACGAAGGAAGUGACGGUACCGUACGAGGAAGCCCCGGCAAACUACGUGCCAGCAGCCGCGGUAAUACGUAGGGGGCGAGCGUUGUCCGGAAUCACUGGGCGUAAAGCGCACGUAGGCGGGCUGUCAAGUCGGCCGUGAAAGGCACGGGCUCAACGUGUGCAUGUCGGUCGAUACUGGCGGUCUGGAGUAUGGGAGAGGGAACUGGAAUUCCGGGUGUAGUGGUGAAAUGCGUAGAUAUCCGGAGGAACACCAGUGGCGAAAGCGGCUUCCUGGCCCAUUUCUGACGCUCAGACGCGAAAGCUAGGGUAGCAAACGGGAUUAGAGACCCCGGUAGUCCUAGCCGUAAACGAUGUGAACUUGGCGUUGGCGGGUUUAAAUCCGUCAGUGCCGCAGCUAACGCGAUAAGUUCACCGCCUGGGGACUACGGCCGCAAGG
rnacentral:rRNA from 1 species